UACGUAGGGUGCAAGCGUUGUUCGGAAUUACUGGGCGUAAAGGGCGCGUAGGCGGUGUGUCAAGUCAGGCGUGAAAGCCCCGGGCUCAACCUGGGAACGGCGCUUGAGACUGGCACGCUCGAGUUCGGGAGAGGAUGGUGGAAUUCCCAGUGUAGAGGUGAAAUUCGUAGAUAUUGGGAAGAACACCGAUGGCGAAGGCAGCCAUCUGGACCGACACUGACGCUGAGGCGCGAAAGCGUGGGGAGCAAACAGG
rnacentral:rRNA from 1 species